GAUGAACGCUGGCGGCGUGCUUAACACAUGCAAGUCGAACGAGAAGUGAAGACGGAAACCUUCGGGCGGAAGGCUUUAUUUCGAGUGGCGGACGGUGGAGUAACGCGUGGGUAAACUGCCUCAUACAGGGGGAUAACAGUUGGAAACGACUGUUAAUACUGCAUCAGAUCACAGCACCGCAUGGUGCGGUGGUAAAGACUCCGGUGGUAUGAGAUGGACCCGCGUACGAUUAGCCAGAUGUCGGGGGAACGGCCCCCCAAAGGGAGAAUCGGUAGCCGAGAAGAGAGAAAGGCCGGCCACAGUGAGACUAGGACGCGGCCCGAAAUCCUACGGGAUGCAGCAGUGGGGAAUAGUGCAAAAUGGGGGAAACCCUGAUGGAGCGACGCCGGGAGAGCGAAGAAGUAUUGCGGUAAGUAAAGCGCAAUCAGCAGGGAAGAAAAUGACGGUACCUAAGUAAAAAGCCCCGGCUAACUACGUG
rnacentral:rRNA from 1 species